UCUGGUAAUGAUGGCAGAGAGGUCACAACCGUUCCCAUACCGAACACGGAAGUUAAGCUCUCUAGCGCCGAUGGUAGUUGGGACCUUGUCCCUGUGAGAGUAGGACGUUGCCAGGC
rnacentral:rRNA from 1 species